AGAGUUUGAUCCUGGCUCAGGAUGAACGCUGGCGGCGUGCCUAAUACAUGCAAGUCGAGCGAACGGACGAGAAGCUUGCUUCUCUGAUGUUAGCGGCGGACGGGUGAGUAACACGUGGAUAACCUACCUAUAAGACUGGGAUAACUUCGGGAAACCGGAGCUAAUACCGGAUAAUAUUUUGAACCGCAUGGUUCAAAAGUGAAAGACGGUCUUGCUGUCACUUAUAGAUGGAUCCGCGCUGCAUUAGCUAGUUGGUAAGGUAACGGCUUACCAAGGCAACGAUGCAUAGCCGACCUGAGAGGGUGAUCGGCCACACUGGAACUGAGACACGGUCCAGACUCCUACGGGAGGCAGCAGUAGGGAAUCUUCCGCAAUGGGCGAAAGCCUGACGGAGCAACGCCGCGUGAGUGAUGAAGGUCUUCGGAUCGUAAAACUCUGUUAUUAGGGAAGAACAUAUGUGUAAGUAACUGUGCACAUCUUGACGGUACCUAAUCAGAAAGCCACGGCUAACUACGUGCCAGCAGCCGCGGUAAUACGUAGGUGGCAAGCGUUAUCCGGAAUUAUUGGGCGUAAAGCGCGCGUAGGCGGUUUUUUAAGUCUGAUGUGAAAGCCCACGGCUCAACCGUGGAGGGUCAUUGGAAACUGGAAAACUUGAGUGCAGAAGAGGAAAGUGGAAUUCCAUGUGUAGCGGUGAAAUGCGCAGAGAUAUGGAGGAACACCAGUGGCGAAGGCGACUUUCUGGUCUGUAACUGACGCUGAUGUGCGAAAGCGUGGGGAUCAAACAGGAUUAGAUACCCUGGUAGUCCACGCCGUAAACGAUGAGUGCUAAGUGUUAGGGGGUUUCCGCCCCUUAGUGCUGCAGCUAACGCAUUAAGCACUCCGCCUGGGGAGUACGACCGCAAGGUUGAAACUCAAAGGAAUUGACGGGGACCCGCACAAGCGGUGGAGCAUGUGGUUUAAUUCGAAGCAACGCGAAGAACCUUACCAAAUCUUGACAUCCUUUGACAACUCUAGAGAUAGAGCCUUCCCCUUCGGGGGACAAAGUGACAGGUGGUGCAUGGUUGUCGUCAGCUCGUGUCGUGAGAUGUUGGGUUAAGUCCCGCAACGAGCGCAACCCUUAAGCUUAGUUGCCAUCAUUAAGUUGGGCACUCUAAGUUGACUGCCGGUGACAAACCGGAGGAAGGUGGGGAUGACGUCAAAUCAUCAUGCCCCUUAUGAUUUGGGCUACACACGUGCUACAAUGGACAAUACAAAGGGCAGCGAAACCGCGAGGUCAAGCAAAUCCCAUAAAGUUGUUCUCAGUUCGGAUUGUAGUCUGCAACUCGACUACAUGAAGCUGGAAUCGCUAGUAAUCGUAGAUCAGCAUGCUACGGUGAAUACGUUCCCGGGUCUUGUACACACCGCCCGUCACACCACGAGAGUUUGUAACACCCGAAGCCGGUGGAGUAACCUUUUAGGAGCUAGCCGUCGAAGGUGGG
rnacentral:rRNA from 1 species